rnacentral:rRNA from 1 species
UUCCGGUUGAUCCUGCCGGAGGCUACCGCUAUUGGAGUUCGAUUAAGCCAUGCGAGUCGAGAGUCUUAGGGACUCGGCGUACCGCUCAGUAACACGUGGGUAACCUGCCCUAUGCUGGGGAAUAACCUCGGGAAACUGAGAAUAAUACCUCAUAGUCCACAAUGCCUGGAACGGUUUGUGGAUUAAAGCCCCGGCGGCAUAGGAUGGGCCUGCGGCGUAUCAGGUUGUAGGGGGUGUAACGUACCCUCUAGCCAUCAACGCGUACGGGUGUUGGGAGACAUAGCCCGGAGAUGGAUUCUGAGACACGAAUCCAGACCCUACGGGGUGCAGCAGGCGCGAAAACUUGGCAAUGCGAGAAAUCGUGACCAGGGAACUCCAAGUGGCUAGGGUAAGACCCAGUCUUUUCUUGACUCUUCAAAGGUCUUGGAAUAAGAGGUGGGUAAGGACGGUGCCAGCCGCCGCGGUAAUACCGGCGCCUCAAGUGGUAGUCGAUUUUAUUGGGCCUAAAACGUCCGUAGCCUGUUUGGUACAUUCGUGGGUAAAUCAACCAGCUUAACUGGUUGAAUUCUGCGAGCACGGCCAGACUUGGGACC